UGACAUUUGAAUCUGCACCAUGGUCUAACA
rnacentral:piRNA from 1 species